rnacentral:rRNA from 1 species
AAGACCUUGCACUUUUGGAGCGGCCGAUGUCUGAUUAGCUAGUUGGUGGGGUAAUGGCCUACCAAAGCUUCGAUCAGUAGCUGGUCUGAGAGGACGGCCAGCCACACUGGGACUGAGACACGGCCCAGACUCCUACGGGAGGCAGCAGUGGGGAAUUUUGGACAAUGGGGGCAACCCUGAUCCAGCCAUGCCGCGUGAGUGAAGAAGGCCUUCGGGUUGUAGAGCUCUUUCAGCCGGAACGAAACGGUCACGGCUAAUACCUGUGACUACUGACGGUACCGGAAGAAGAAGCACCGGCUAACUACGUGCCAGCAGCCGCGGUAAUACGUAGGGUGCGAGCGUUAAUCGGAAUUACUGGGCGUAAAGGGUGCGCAGGCGGUUUUGUAAGUCAGAUGUGAAAUCCCCGGGCUUAACCUGGGAACU